rnacentral:rRNA from 1 species
AACGCGAAGAACCUUACCUGGGCUCGAAAUGCAGAGGGAGAUGCCAGAAAUGGCUUCGUCCGCAAGGACUUCUGUAUAGGUGCUGCAUGGCUGUCGUCAGCUCGUGCCGUGAGGUGUUUGGUUAAGUCCAGCAACGAGCGCAACCCUUAUCAUUAGUUGCCAACACGUAAGGUGGGGACUCUAAUGAGACUGCCUAGGUUAACUAGGAGGAAGGCGAGGAUGACGUCAAGUCCGCAUGGCCUUUAUGUCCAGGGCUACACACGUGCUACAAUGGUCGGUACAGAGGGCUGCAAGACCGCAAGGUGGAGCAAAUCCCAGAAAGCCGAUCUCAGUUCAGAUUGUGGACUGCAACUCGUCCACAUGAAGUCGGAAUUGCUAGUAAUGGCGUGUCAGCAACAACGCCGUGAAUACGUUCCCGGGCCUUGUA